rnacentral:misc_RNA from 1 species
UAGGCGUACCAGCUUGGGAGUACCUGUAGUUAUAUCGUAUUUCAAAGAAUAAACAUCGGAACAACUCAUAUAAACUACAUAAAAUAAAAAGGGGUUAAUUUCAAAAACCCUUUCUGACAUUUGGUGAAAUACAUUUACACAGCUCUUCCCUCUUAAAAAAUGGAUUAAAUGGUUCUGGACAAUUAGUUUUAUUAACAAAAUGGUCCUGUUAAGGUUUCAAAUAAAAUGUUGUUAUUCAAUGAUGGAAACUAAUAUUAUAUUCUUCAAAAUACCCUUAAAAGAUUUUUAAGUCUAAUUUAUACCCAACUCGGUCACUUACCACUUCCACGCUUGCAGACCUGCAAAUGCGAUUUUCUUUUUUCUUUUUACAAACAAUUAAAUCAAGCUUGUGCUUAUUCUCUUUUUGCUUUUGAAAAUUUUUCGCUUGCCUAAAAUAUUGUCUUCCCAAACUAAUCUCAAUUCACCCAAAAACCCAAUUACAAUUGCAAAACCAGUAGAAAGCAAGCAACUUAUAGCCAACAAUUAUAAAAUGGAGCAGUCUCCCAUGUACCAAAGACAAUUUCUUUGCUGUUUAGUGUAGUCUAUCCCCACCAAUUGAAAAUCACAAAUUGAAUCUCCAUAACUACAUCAUAGCCAAGAUCUCAAAAUCCAAUCAGUACCAAAAACACAAAUGGAAUCAUCCAUUGAUGAAAACAGCUAUCCUUUACACAAUACUCAUCAAUGAAACUGCAUCUUGAGGUAUUCCCUCCACUAAUCGUCAAAUCCAUGAACCCAAAAUGCUCAUGCUCAUUCAUUGGACAAAUAGCAUUACAAUUCUCAAUAACCAAGUAUCAUGAGACUGCUUCUCAUCCACGGCUACUCGCUGAUUUUCUUUUCAUGCUUAGCUAAUGGUUUUCGCAUGUUAUACCUUUCUCACAUGGUGGCCAAGGUCAGUUGUCAUAAAUGUGUGGUUGCUCGCAAUUUAUGGAGGUAAUGGAGCUCAGUACUUACUAUUUAGGAGGGAAGAAAGAUUCAAAUGACUGGAGAUAUGAAAAUAAUCAUGUCUAUAGAGGGUAAUUUUGUGCUUUCAAAUUUAGUAAACAGUUCUACCCUUGGUUUUCCAAUAGAAGAACUAGACCAUUCAUGUUUUGGAAUGUCCAGGAGCAUUUAAUCACUUUUGGAAAACGCGUCAUAUAGGUAUGCUAAAUGCCGGGGCUUUUAUAAUUUAUCCAAAAAUCAUCAUACCAUAGUAAGAAAUUAGCAAAA